AUUCUUAUCUUUUGAUAUGCUCUAUAGUCUCUAUGUGGCACAACCGUGGGAUAUGUUUCUGAGAAUUUUAAUUUGCCAUGAUGUUUGCAGCUCAAAUUCAAGCAUGAAUGCUGCAGGGAUACUGAGGUGUAUACAAUCCAAGCAAUGCCUAUGACUUGCCUUUGUGACAUAGAUCACCAACCAAUACUCGACUCGAAGAUGUCAUCGUCGAUAGGGAGACUCGAGAGCGACAUGGAGAGGGGCCUCCAUCUCUUGGACAAGACGCUGGUACGCACAGCUGAUUGAAAUGGAAGAAAGAAGGGGAUCAUGAAAAGGAGCGAGUCGGGGAGCUGGCUGAUUCUAUCGGCUUUCCAUCGUUUAGAACCCCUUGAAGCUUUCGAUCGUUUGGAACCCAUUACUGUAUGAACGAGAUGUUCAUUACUAUCUAGAAAGUUCAUGGACGAUUAUUGGUGAUAAAUAUUCAUAUUUAUCACUUUACAAUUCAAAAACCUAGAUCAUGCAGUGUUCCUAAAUCUUAUUUCAUGUAACUUUUUACGCUCAAAUAUCAGAUCCUCUUAUGUUUUGUAUGA